AUUGAACGCUGCGGCAGGCCUAACACAUGCAAGUCGAGCGGUAGAGAGAAGCUUGCUUCUCUUGAGAGCGGCGGACGGGUGAGUAAUGCCUAGGAAUCUGCCUGGUAGUGGGGGAUAACGUUCGGAAACGGACGCUAAUACCGCAUACGUCCUACGGGAGAAAGCAGGGGACCUUCGGGCCUUGCGCUAUCAGAUGAGCCUAGGUCGGAUUAGCUAGUUGGUGAGGUAAUGGCUCACCAAGGCGACGAUCCGUAACUGGUCUGAGAGGAUGAUCAGUCACACUGGAACUGAGACACGGUCCAGACUCCUACGGGAGGCAGCAGUGGGGAAUAUUGGACAAUGGGCGAAAGCCUGAUCCAGCCAUGCCGCGUGUGUGAAGAAGGUCUUCGGAUUGUAAAGCACUUUAAGUUGGGAGGAAGGGUUGUAGAUUAAUACUCUGCAAUUUUGACGUUACCGACAGAAUAAGCACCGGCUAACUCUGUGCCAGCAGCCGCGGUAAUACAGAGGGUGCAAGCGUUAAUCGGAAUUACUGGGCGUAAAGCGCGCGUAGGUGGUUUGUUAAGUUGGAUGUGAAAUCCCCGGGCUCAACCUGGGAACUGCAUUCAAAACUGACUGACUAGAGUAUGGUAGAGGGUGGUGGAAUUUCCUGUGUAGCGGUGAAAUGCGUAGAUAUAGGAAGGAACACCAGUGGCGAAGGCGACCACCUGGACUAAUACUGACACUGAGGUGCGAAAGCGUGGGGAGCAAACAGGAUUAGAUACCCUGGUAGUCCACGCCGUAAACGAUGUCAACUAGCCGUUGGAAGCCUUGAGCUUUUAGUGGCGCAGCUAACGCAUUAAGUUGACCGCCUGGGGAGUACGGCCGCAAGGUUAAAACUCAAAUGAUUUGACGGGGGCCCGCACAAGCGGGUGAGCAUGUGGUUUAAUUCGAAGCAACGCGAAGAACUUACCAGGCCUUGACAUCCAAUGAACUUUCUAGAGAUAGAUUGGUGCCUUCGGGAACAUUGAGACAGGUGCUGCAUGGCUGUCGUCAGCUCGUGUCGUGAGAUGUUGGGUUAAGUCCCGUAACGAGCGCAACCUUGUCCUUAGUUACCAGCACGUAAUGGUGGGCACUCUAAGGAGACUGCCGGUGACAAACCGGAGGAAGGUGGGGAUGACGUCAAGUCAUCAUGGCCUUACGGCCUGGGCUACACACGUGCUACAAUGGUCGGUACAGAGGGUUGGCAAGCCUCGAGGUGGAGCUAAUCCCAUAAAACCGAUCGUAGUCCGGAUCGCAGUCUGCAACUCGGCUGCGUGAAGUCGGAAUCGCUAGUAAUCGCGAAUCAGAAUGUCGCGGUGAAUACGUUCCCGGGCCUUGUACACACCGCCCGUCACACCAUGGGAGUGGGUUGCACCAGAAGU
rnacentral:rRNA from 1 species